rnacentral:rRNA from 1 species
GAUGAACGCUGGCGGCGUGCUUAACACAUGCAAGUCGAGCGAGAAGUUUUGAAAAGAUUCUUCGGAUGAAAUUUAAAAUGGAAAGCGGCGGACGGGUGAGUAACGCGUAGGCAACCUGCCCCAUACAAAGGGAUAGCAUUUGGAAACGAAUAUUAAUACCUUAUGAAACUUAACUAGUGCAUGCUAGGUAGGUCAAAGAUUUAUCGGUAUGGGAUGGGCCUGCGUCUGAUUAGCUAGUUGGUGAGGUAACGGCUCACCAAGGCGACGAUCAGUAGCCGACCUGAGAGGGCGAACGGCCACAUUGGAACUGAGACACGGUCCAAACUCCUACGGGAGGCAGCAGUGGGGAAUAUUGCACAAUGGGGGAAACCCUGAUGCAGCAACGCCGCGUGAACGAUGAAGGCCUUUGGGUCGUAAAGUUCUGUUCUAGGUGAUGAAAACUGACAGUAACCUAGGAGAAAGCCCCGGCUAACUCCGUG